rnacentral:rRNA from 1 species
UACGUAGGUGGCAAGCGUUAUCCGGAUUUAUUGGGUGUAAAGGGCGUGUAGGCGGGAGCGCAAGUCAGAUGUGAAAACUCAGGGCUCAGCCCUGAGCCUGCAUUUGAAACUGUGUUUCUUGAGUACUGGAGAGGCAGACGGAAUUCCUAGUGUAGCGGUGAAAUGCGUAGAUAUUAGGAGGAACACCAGUGGCGAAGGCGGUCUGCUGGACAGCAACUGACGGCGAGGCGCGAAAGUGUGGGGAGCAAACAGG